AGCGAACGUUUGCGGCGGGCCUAACACAUGCAAGUCGAACGCACUAGCAAUAGUGAGUGGCGCACGGGUGCGUAACACGUGGGUAAUCAACCCUUCAGCUUGGGAUAACGACUUGAAAGGGUCGCUAAUACCGGAUACGGCGCGGGAGGCUUCGGCUUCUCACGAGAAAGCCUCGCAAGGGGCACUGAAGGACGAGCCUGCGGCCCAUCAGCUAGUUGGUGAGGUAAGAGCUCACCAAGGCGAAGACGGGUAGCUGGUCUGAGAGGAUGAUCAGCCACACUGGAACUGAGACACGGUCCAGACUCCUACGGGAGGCAGCAGUGGGGAAUAUUGCGCAAUGGGCGAAAGCCUGACGCAGCCACGCCGCGUGAGCGAUGAAGGCCUUCGGGUCGUAAGACGUCUGUGGGGAGAGACGAAGGAAAGACCCGUGAAGAGCGGGCCUUGACGGUAGUCUGACCAGAAAGCCACGGCUAACUACGUGCCAGC
rnacentral:rRNA from 1 species